rnacentral:rRNA from 1 species
CACGUAGGGUGCGAGCGUUGUCCGGAAUUAUUGGGCGUAAAGAGCUCGUAGGCGGUGUGUCGCGUCGGCCGUGAAAACCUGCAGCUUAACUGUGGGCUUGCGGUCGAUACGGGCAUCACUGGAGUUCGGCAGGGGAGACUGGAAUUCCUGGUGUAGCGGUGAAAUGCGCAGAUAUCAGGAGGAACACCGGUGGCGAAGGCGGGCAUCUGGGCCAACACUGACGCUGAGGCGCGAAAGCUAGGGGGAGCAAACAGG